rnacentral:lncRNA from 1 species
AUCCCUGCUGGAGAAGGUCCGAAGCACCUCCACCUCUGUGCUUCCAGAGGGGCACUGUGGUGGCCACUUAAAAUGCUCAGGCUAUACCAUGCACUAGAGCAUCUACCUGGGCAAGGGAUAUGCUGUAUGACACUCUCCUGAUGCUGGGCAUGGCUGUGAGCCAAAGCACCCAGGCAGCCCUGCCAUCAGAAGGGUAAACCACGGACACCUGAUGCCUUCCUGAAGGAAGAGCACUACGCCUGCCAAACCAUCAAGCGUUGAUGCUCCAGCGCCUUCUACCCGUGGUUCUCCAGCCUCAGCAGAAGAGAGAGAAAUUGAUGACCCUGUCGUUGUAGCAUCCCCAUCACCCAGCAAUUAAUUUUAGUUCAAUGCUUCAAACGCUCUUCAGGCGCAGUGUGCGUUCAGCUGUGUCAGCUAAUGCAAAUGGGGGAUCUCAGAAGUCUUAAUGAAGUAACUAUCCCUGAACACUGGGAUCAAUACUCAGCAUCCAGCUGUCAAAUCAACACCAAGGUAUGUACCGGGGAAAGGAAGGUUUUAGGUGAACUCCUAGCUGCAUGUCUGGUUAACCUGCAACCACACAAAGCAGCUGGGGUAAAGGUGUGUCCCGAUGCCUUGUGGUGUACUUGGAACUCCACAGCCAAAAGAUUAGACGUUGUUUGCUCACUGUGUUCAAAACAAGAGGUGUAAAGGAAGUUCAGCAACAACCGAAAGAUGACUCGUAAUUUGUAACUGACUGGCUAUGCUUGGCGAGCCUGGUGUAUUUAUAAUCUUUCAAAGUCAAGCGCAAAGGCUCCUGAGCCUCAUGCGUCACCCAACUGCAGCAUUCCUGUUGAUCACGCUGGCUGUCACCAUAAAGCCUGAGCAAAAGUAAACUUUUCUGUCCCAAGGGUUUCCUUGUACUGAAAGAGCCACUGCUUGCGGCUUUUUACAGGAUCACAACCAAUGUCUGUUUCAUGCGGCAGGUCCCUGGGGACUGUAAUUGCAGAAGUAUAACCUGGCGGUUAUGUCACAUGGCCCAAGAAACUGCCAGGAGACCAACAUGCUUCCUGCCAGACGACCUUUUGCAGCUGAAGGCACUAGUGCCCCAUCUGCGGUCGCUGUCUCUGUAUGAACAAUUCUCUGAUAUUCCCUGGGCAAAAAGAGGUGCUUGUUGACAACACUGAGUCAAAACUUGGAACCCUGAGCCCUCAGUCUGCCACCAUAUCAUUUUCCUGUUAAUGGAGUGUUAAUUAACAAGGGUUUUCGUUUUUAUGAAA